rnacentral:rRNA from 1 species
UACGGAGGGGGCUAGCGUUGUUCGGAAUUACUGGGCGUAAAGCGCGCGUAGGCGGACCUGCAAGUCGUGGGUGAAAGCCCGAGGCUCAACCUCGGAACUGCCUUCGAUACUGCGGGUCUCGAGUCCGGGAGAGGUGAGUGGAAUUCCUAGUGUAGAGGUGAAAUUCGUAGAUAUCGGGAGGAACACCAGCGGCGAAGGCGGCGACCUGGGUAGAUACUGACGCUGAGGUGCGAAAGCGUGGGGAGCAAACAGG